rnacentral:lncRNA from 1 species
GAUCAAUAUGACAUUGGUAAAAAUUCCAAUAAACUUUGUAAGUAUUGAUUUCUCAAGAAACAAGUUUAAUGGAGGAAUUCCAAAUGAUAUAGGAGAACUUCACGCACUCAAAGGGCUUAACCUUUCACAUAACAGACUCACUGGUCCUAUUCCUCAAUCCAUACAAAACUUGACAAACUUGGAAUCGUUGGAUCUCUCGUCAAAUAUGCUCACUGGUAUGAUUCCUGCAGAAUUAACCAAUUUGAACAGUCUUGAAGUCUUGGAUCUUUCCAAUAACCAUCUUGUGGGAGAAAUACCUCAAGGAAAGCAAUUCAAUACAUUUACAAAUGAUUCUUAUAAAGGGAACUUGGGGUUAUGUGGAUUACCCUUGUCAAAGAAAUGUGGACCGGAACAACAUUCUCCACCUUCAGCCAACAACUUUUGGAGUGAAGAGAAAUUUGGCUUUGGAUGGAAACCAGUGGCAAUUGGUUAUGGAUGUGGAUUUGUGUUUGGAAUAGGCCUUGGAUAUUAUAUGUUUUUAAUUGGAAAGCCUAGAUGGUUUGUGAUGAUAUUUGGUGGUCAUCCUAAGAGAAGAGUGAAUAGGAGAACAUAAGUGAGGAGAAACAAUGGUCCAACCAUGAAUCAGAUGGUGCAAAUGUCAUAGUUUUAUUAUUCUGGUUAUUUUCUCUAUUGUGUGUGUUAGUUUUUACUCUGUUUAAAAUAAGUUUUGGUGUGAGUGUAACAAUCUAGUCUUUUUUAUUUGAUCUAGCUAGUUUGAUUUUUACUUAACUUAUAUGUGUAUGCAUCAACAUGUGUUAUAUAAUAAAAUUCCAAGUUUAUUUUUAUGUUUGCAUCUAGCUACUGUCUGAAUGUCUGUGAGCCUAUUGUUCUUUUGGUGGAUGCUCACCAGAUACAAACACGCGCACGCGCGCACAUUACUACACUACAUAACAUUGUUUAUAACUCAGAUUUGAAGAAGUUUUUGAGCCAGAAAGUGUGGUAAGAACUCCUGGAUUACCCGCAGUCACCUCAGAGUCGUAAAAUGCAAUGUUGGAUCACUGAAACUGGUUUCCUAUUUUGCCAUGCAUUUUUGUUUCCUGGCUAAUCCGUAGCAGUAAUAAGAUGAUAUUUUGACACUGUUGUGCUCUUUAUCAAUAAUUAAUUAUAUAUUUGAUGUCAAGAAUUCUAACAUAAUUUUUGAGUAAUAUGUAUGUGGUUCAGAAUGGCAAUGUAUUUUGUUUACCCGACACCACAAGAUUGGUUGAUUGUAUUCUAAGCAUCAUGGUCGAUUAAUUCAUAUUUUUAUAACCUUUUUUUCUUUGCCUUUUUAUUUUGCUUCUUUUCAUCUAAUCUUAUUAGUACAAAAUUGAGUUUUGCAAGUACACAAACAGAAAGACUUUGUUAAUUAAUCUUCUCUUCUUUUGGUGGUUUAAAUCUAAAUUUGUUGUCUUUAGUAUCCGUUGCGAAGAAGAUUUCUUUCUUAGACUUGGCUGAGUUUUGAUGAUAACAAACUCACAUCACAAAAGAAGAAAACUAUGGAGGCACAAGAUGAAGAUUAAGAAUGAAGAUUAGUGCAUAAACUUCUGGGUUAUACUCUUUGUAAGUAUGGCACUUUAUCUUUUGAUUUAUCAUUCUUAACUUAUGGAAUAAUUUAGAAUGCUCAGAAAAUAAUUACAAACAUUUUUUCUAAGUCCGCAUAUGAAGCAAUGCCUAAUAUCUCUUGAAAAUAAAUCACACACUUACAAUGGUAUUUAUUUAAAAGUGAUUUUGCAUGAAAAGCCAUUAUUAACAAUGAAAACUGCAUAACUGUUUUCUACAUUCAAAAAUAUAUUUUUCAUGUUAUCAUACUCAAUUAUGAUUUGUAAAUGUGUGCACAUCAUGGGGCAACACAAUUUUCUUUCUCAAGUACAAAUCAAUUUUAACAUAGUAAAUUUGAUUUCAAUGUGCUAAUUGCAUCAAGUGUCAAAACGGCUAUUUUUUUUUCCAUUGAAGGAUUAACGGCUAAUUUUCUUUUAAAGCACGUCAUUGCCAUAUUUGUUUAAAUACAUAUGAUACUCAUUUUUAAGAAUAGGUUUCUUUUCAAAUAUGUUUCUAUUCAUUUGGUAAUUCUUUUUUGAAACUUUUUAGCCUACACUUUAACUUUUAUUAAAAAGUUUUCUGAGCACUAAGUCCAUUUGUUAGAGUGAUACUGAUAAAGAUAUACACCCAUAUAUUUGCUAUUCUUCAACUACUUUGUUAUAAAGUUUCUUGCCAUUGUUGGUGAGAAUUAUUGUUUAAGAUAGUGGGGGUGUUGUCUUGUGAUUAUUGUAAAAGGUUCUUUGAUUCGGGAAAAUUCAAAGUCCACCAAACAUGUUUGGUGUUUGUGUUGUAAUCAAGAGAGAGGGUUUUUUUCUUGUGUUUAUGUUAGAAAGAUUGUUAGGGGGGUCUUGAGGUGAGAUUGCUUGCAACAAAGAUUCUAACAUAGUGAAUUUCUUCGCGGGGUGUGAAAGGAGUGGACUGACCCUUAGGUUUAGAGGGGAACCAGUGCAUUUUCUUCUACCCUUACUUUUUAUUUUUCCGCAUUCAUAUUAAGUUUCCGGAAAAAUUAUCAAGAACGCUAAACUUGCAAAAAUUAACCAAUAUUCCUAGGUUACAAACUGAACUUACAUCCGUUUCAUAAUUGAUGCCAAAACCCUUUCUUAUGUUUAGGAAUUGACUAACGUUUUUAUGUUUUGUUGAACUUUUGGCUUUCUUCUCAGACACGUCUUGUGCUGGGAAAAUAGUCUGCUGGUAGUAAUAUUUCUCAUUUUGUUGUUUUUCCCGUAUUCGUCUCAUAAUUGGUGUCAAAACCCUUUCUUAUGUUUGGGAAUUGGUUAAUGUUUUUAUGUUUUGUUGCACUUUUGCUGUAACUUUUGUCUUUCUUCUCAGACACGUCUUGUGCUGGGAAGAUAGUUUGUUGGUAGUAAUAUAUCUCAUUAUGUCCUCUUAAAAAAGCAUCAUUGUUCAGUUAUACGAAUCAUAUAUUGACUCAAUAUGCGAUCCUCUAAGACCCAUGUAUUUAUUUAUUAUUUAUUAGACUGGAGUAAGAGUCAACUUUUCGUCAAUAGAUUGUUACACCCUUCACCUAACAUUUCAUUUGUUGUGGGGUUUCGUCGCCUAAACCUUAAUCGCCUAACAUGCUAACUAUUUUUACGCGCAAAGAAAUAUUUUUGAGCAUGCCUAAAAAAAAAAAUUUGACCAAAAUUUUUAAUUUUUAUAAAAUCUUUUAUUUAUUACAAAUAUAAAAAGUUUCAAAAAAUAAAGGGUUAAUUGUUUAAAUUGAAUAUAUAAUAUACGCAAAGUCUAAAAAAUAACCAUGCAUUUUAAGAUUUUACUUAUUUUUUACUUCUUAUGUUUCUCUCUAGAAAUAAAUUCUAGAACAGUGAUCUAGAGGUGGAAUUUUUUCAUAAUUUUUUGUAGGCAUGUUUAUGAUGUUAAAAUAUGAUUUUUCAUGUAAAAUUAAAAAUUUCUGAGUAGAGACGAAUUAAUUAUGAAUUUUCAUAGUGAAAAAACUUAAAAAAAAAAACAACGGAACCUAAAAAUCGAAUUAUGAGUUGAUUUUUUUUUUACACAAAAAUAAAAUAUAUAGAGAGGAUUUGCAAAAACCUGCAAAAUUUAAAUUUUGAAAUUCAGCAAAAUCAUAUGCAAAAUCGAAUUUGGAUUUUUCAACAAAGACAUGUAAAAUUGCAAUUUUUUAUUUUAUUUAACAAAUUCAAAUUAAGGUGGAACGAAAAUGCAAUUAAUCAUGUAAACAAAUUAAUAAAAAGAACACAUAGAAAAAAUAAUAAUAAAAGAGAUCUGUUAAAGGAAAGAUAAUAAUUAAUAAAGAACGGUUAUCAAUCAUAAUCAUUCCUAUAGAUCUAUAAAUAUAGAAUGCAUUUGAAACUUAUAAAACAUGAAAUGCUCCUCUUGUUUCUUUGUCAGAUGUGGGACUAUCUUCAUGGUUUUAAGUUUAAAAGGAAUUAAUUUCACCAAAUCAGACGUGUUCAUCAGUAGAAACAUCAAUUUUGCAGCUCGGGAAGAUCUUUCCAGAAUUCUAGGAGUCCGUCAUGUGUUAGGUACGGGUACAUAUUUGGGACUACCUAUAUGAUUGGUAGAAGUAAAAAAACAAUCUUCUCUUACAUCAAGGGCCGUAUUUGAAAGAAGAUAAAUUCAUGGAGAUGCCGCUCAGUAACAAAAGCAAGGAAGAAGGUGAUGAUUAAGUUCGUUUUACAAGCCACUUUAUCUUAUAUUAUGAGCACUUACAUCAUUCUGACCACUAUUUUUAUAAAUGAUAUUGAAAGAAUGCUAAAUUCAUUUUGGUGGGGAGGUGGUUCUAAUAACAAAGGGAUUCGUUGGAUGAUGUGGGAUAGAUUAUCAUGUCCUAAAUGGCAAAAUCAGAAGGUGGUAUGAUCUUUUUUGAAAUUCCAAGCUUUCAACAUGUUUAUGGUGGCAACGUAAGGGUGGCGUAUCUUGCAGAAACUGGACUCUUUGGUGGCAAAAAUUCUCAAAUCAAUAUACUUUCUCCACACAUAUUUUCUUGAAGCUGACAUUAGUACUAUGACAUAUCCAGGGAAGAAAGACCAAGGGAAGGUUUGAUUAAGUAUAACGUUAAUGCGACCUUCAUUGGAACUUUUUCUUGCUCAAACAAACUGGAAAUCUGUGAGAUGUCAACAAUCAAAGGGGAAGCAAAAACGCUUCUUGAAGCAAUUCAAAUGGCCAUCAACAAAGGGCUCGAGAGAGUAGUGUUUGAACGCGACUCACAAGUAGUACUAAACUCUAUUAAUUCUAGUUCACAAGGUGAUUCAAUGUUUAGUUCAAUUAUCUAUAGUAUUAUUAAUAGUCUGUCUUUGCAUUCUAACUUUGAGGUGAAGUUUGUUAGACAACAAACAAAGAUGAUUGCUCUACCUUGACAAUGGCGGCCCUUUUUUAGACUAAUUGCGAGUUGCCGUAUUGUUGAGAUUAUGUCUUUUCAAUUAAUGAUACAAGUUAAGUUUGCUUUGGUAAAAAAGUAAAAAAUACUUUAGCUUGCUAACUUCACCGACUAAAAAAUGAGUAUGAAUAAAUUAGCAAGUCCCAAUAAAACAUGCAUGGAAUAGGGAAAAAUCAGUUCUACUUAACAUUCAAUUAUAAGAUAUUUUAUUUAUUUUUUAAAUAAAGAAUGUUACCUCUUUUAUAUAAGAAAAUGACAGUAAGUUAUCUUUUUUUUUCAUUAUUUGGUUUUUAGUUUGUACAAGUCUGUAUAUAACUGACAAAAUGAUAUCACUGUAUAUAUAAAAUUAGAAAAAUGUUUUUAUGAAUAUUAAUUUUGUUAUGGUUUUUUAUUCUUUUAAAAUGAUAAAAAAAUUAAUAUAGAGUGAACAAUUAUAGGGGCUUCUGUUAGGUACCUAAAAGUAAACAAUCUCUGCAAAGUCAAGGCAGAAGUAUUCUAUGUCCCAAACAAAGAAAGUUCAAUGCAGAUUAUUCUCACUUUUCACAAAGUCCUAACCGUGUUUUCCAACACUUGCUUAAGUUGACUAUGACCUUAUAGAGUCAAUCCAAACAACUUAUAUUGGUUUGGUUUUUCAUUCUUUAGCUAUACUAACUACUUUCCACAAAAUUAUCCAUGGAGAAGUGCUUGCUUCUGUCUUUAAUUCUUUUGUUCUUCCAUUUUCCAUCAUUCUCUUCUUCAUCUUCUUUCAACUCCUCCUUAUGUCAUCAUGAUGAGAGCUUUGCUUUGCUUCAGUUCAAGUCCUCCUUCACUAUAGAUACUCCUUGUGUUAAAUCUCCUAUGAAAACAGCAACAUGGAAAAAUGGGACUGAUUGCUGCUCAUGGCAUGGUGUCACGUGUGACACCGUAUCUGGUCACGUCAUUGGCCUUAACCUUGGUUGUGAAGGCUUUCAAGGUAUACUCCAUCCUAAUAGUACCCUUUUCAAUAUUGUUCAUCUCCAAACACUCAACCUUUCUAACAAUGGUUUCUAUGGUUCCUAUUUUGAUUCUAAGUUUGGCAGGUUUACGAGUCUUACACAUCUUGACUUGUCUAAUACUCAUGUUGGCGGUGAAAUUCCUUCUCAAAUCUCAUACCUUUCCAAAUUACAAUCACUUCAUCUUUCUGGGCAUUAUGAGUUAGUUUGGAAAGAGACCACCUUAAAGAGACUUGUGCAAAACGCAACAAGUUUAAGGGAGCUGUUUUUGGAUUAUUCAGAUAUGUCUUCUUUAAGACAUAACUCCAUGGAUGCGAUCUUCAAUCAAUCUUCUCUCAUUUCCUUGGAUCUCACAGAUUGUGAACUCCAAGGGCCUAUUCCUCCAUCUUUCUCCAACCUCACACGUCUUACUUUCCUAAGUCUUGCACAAAACAACUUGAACGGUUCAAUCCCAUCCUCAUUUUCAAACCUUCAAAAUCUCAUCCACUUGUAUCUUUCAGGCAAUUCACUUAGCGGUCAAAUCCCAGAUGUAUUUGGUAGGAUGACCAAACUGCAAGUAUUCUAUCUAGCUUCUAACAAAUUAGAAGGACAAAUUCCAUCUUCAUUAUUUAACUUGAAUCAACUUGUUGAUUUAGAUUGUGCUUAUAAUAAAUUAGAGGGUCCACUACAUAAUAAAAUUGCAGGUUUUCAAAAGCUAAUUUAUUUGAGGUUAAAUGACAACUUGCUAAAUGGAACAAUUCCUUCCUCCUUGUUAUCUUUGCCUUCUUUGGUACUUCUGUAUCUAUCAAACAAUCGACUUACAGGGCCUAUCAGUGAAAUCUCAUCAUAUUCCUUAGAGUAUCUAUCUCUAUGCAACAACAAGCUACAAGGUGAUAUUCCAAAUUCAAUUUUCAACCUUGCAAACCUAAUUACACUAUGUCUAUCAUCAAACAACUUGAGUGGUGUUGUCAAUUUUCAAGACUUUACAAAACUUCAAAAAUUGGAUUCUCUGUCCCUUUCACAUAAUAGCCAAUUAUCACUAAACUUUGAAUACAAUGUUACUUACCAUUUUUCUCAACUAACAAAAUUGGAUUUGUCUUCCUUGAGUUUGACUGAAUUUCCUAAAUUAUUAGGAAAACUAGAAUCACUUGAUUUGUCCAAUAACAAACUUAAUGGAACAGUGUCCAAUUGGUUACUUGAAACAUCAAGAUCUUUGAACCUCUCUCAAAACUUGUUCACAUCAAUAGACCAAAUCUCAAGGAACAGUGACCAGCUCGGUGACCUUGAUCUUAGUUUUAACUUACUUGUUGGUAACCUCUCUGUGUCAAUUUGCAAUUUGAGUUCCCUUGAAUUUCUCAACUUGGGACACAACAAUUUCACAGGUAACAUUCCACAAUGUCUUGCUAAUUUACCAUCCCUUCAAAUUUUGGAUCUACAAAUGAACAACUUUUAUGGCACUUUGCCUAAUAACUUUUCAAAGUCCAGUAAACUUAUUACUCUGAAUCUCAAUGACAACCAAUUAGAAGGGUACUUUCCUAAAUCUUUGUCCCACUGCGAAAACCUGCAAGUUCUAAAUCUUCGCAACAACAAAAUGGAAGACAAAUUUCCUGUCUGGCUUCAAACUCUCCAAUACUUGAAAGUGCUGGUUUUGCGAGACAAUAAGUUGCAUGGUCACAUUGCCAAUUUAAAGAUCAGGCAUCCAUUUCCUAGUUUAGUUAUUUUUGAUAUCUCAAGCAAUAACUUUACUGGUCCGCUACCAAAAGCCUAUUUAAAAUAUUUUGAAGCCAUGAAGAAAGUUACUCAAGUUAAGGAUGACGACAGUUUGUUAUAUAUGGAAAUGAUGUUGAGUUAUCGUGCAGACAAUACUAAAGGUAAUGUGAGUUACUAUGAUUCUGUGACUGUGACGACAAAAGGCAUCAAAAUGACACUGACGAAAAUUCCAACAAUGUUUGUAAGUAUUGAUUUCUCAAGAAACAAGUUUAAUGGAGGAAUUCCAAAUGAUAUAGGAGAACUUCACGCACUCAAAGGGCUUAACCUUUCACAUAACAGACUCACUGGUCCUAUUCCUCAAUCCAUACAAAACUUGACAAACUUGGAAUCGUUGGAUCUCUCGUCAAAUAUGCUCACUGGUAUGAUUCCUGCAGAAUUAACCAAUUUGAACAGUCUUGAAGUCUUGGAUCUUUCCAAUAACCAUCUUGUGGGAGAAAUACCUCAAGGAAAGCAAUUCAAUACAUUUACAAAUGAUUCUUAUAAAGGGAACUUGGGGUUAUGUGGAUUACCCUUGUCAAAGAAAUGUGGACCGGAACAACAUUCUCCACCUUCAGCCAACAACUUUUGGAGUGAAGAGAAAUUUGGCUUUGGAUGGAAACCAGUGGCAAUUGGUUAUGGAUGUGGAUUUGUGUUUGGAAUAGGCCUUGGAUAUUAUAUGUUUUUAAUUGGAAAGCCUAGAUGGUUUGUGAUGAUAUUU